UACGUAGGUGGCGAGCGUUGUCCGGAUUUACUGGGCGUAAAGAGCGCGCAGGCGGUCGUUCAAGUCGGAUGUGAAAGCCCCCGGCUCAACUGGGGAGGGUCAUUCGAUACUGUUCGACUCGAAGGCAGGAGAGGGAAGCGGAAUUCCCGGUGUAGUGGUGAAAUGCGUAGAUAUCGGGAGGAACACCAGUGGCGAAGGCGACUACCUGGCCUGUUCUUGACGCUGAGGCGCGAAAGCUAGGGGAGCAAACGGG
rnacentral:rRNA from 1 species